rnacentral:rRNA from 1 species
GCCUACGGGGGGCAGCAGUAGGGAAUCUUCCACAAUGGACGAAAGUCUGAUGGAGCAACGCCGCGUGAGUGAAGAAGGGUUUCGGCUCGUAAAGCUCUGUUGGUAGGGAAGAAAGAUAGAGGUAGUAACUGGCCUUUAUUUGACGGUAAUUACUUAGAAAGUCACGGCUAACUACGUGCCAGCAGCCGCGGGAGGACGGAGGUGGCAAGCGUUGUCCGGAUUUAUUGGGCGUAAAGCGAGGGCAGGCGGGGCAAUAAAGCUGAUGUGAAAGGCUUCGGGGCA